UGAGCAACCUGCCCCGGACUCUGGGAUAACAGUUGGAAACAGCUGCUAAUACCGGAUACGAGCUGCGAAGGCAUCUUCAGCAGCUGGAAAGAACUUCGGUCUGGGAUGGGCUCGCGGCCUAUCAGCUAGUUGGUGAGGUAACGGCUCACCAAGGCGACGACGGGUAGCCGGCCUGAGAGGGUGAUCGGCCACAUUGGAACUGAGACACGGCCCAGACCUCUACGGGA
rnacentral:rRNA from 1 species